rnacentral:rRNA from 1 species
AUUGAACGCUGGCGGCAGGCUUAACACAUGCAAGUCGAGCGGAGAUGAGGUGCUUGCACCUUAUCUUAGCGGCGGACGGGUGAGUAAUGCUUAGGAAUCUGCCUAUUAGUGGGGGACAACAUUCCGAAAGGAAUGCUAAUACCGCAUACGUCCUACGGGAGACAGCAGGGGAUCUUCGGACCUUGCGCUAAUAGAUGAGCCUAAGUCGGAUUAGCUGGUUGGUGGGGUAAAGGCCUACCAAGGCGACGAUCUGUAGCGGGUCUGAGAGGAUGAUCCGCCACACUGGGACUGAGACACGGCCCAGACUCCUACGGGAGGCAGCAGUGGGGAAUAUUGGACAAUGGGGGGAACCCUGAUCCAGCCAUGCCGCGUGUGUGAAGAAGGCCUUAUGGUUGUAAAGCACUUUAAGCGAGGAGGAGGCUACUGAGACUAAUACUCUUGGAUAGUGGACGUUACUCGCAGAAUAAGCACCGGCUAACUCUGUGCCAGCAGCCGCGGUAAUAC